GGCUGGCCGGGCAGAGGGGCUCCUCACUUCCCAGUAGGGGCGGCCGGGUAGAGGCGCCCCUCACCUCCCGGACGGGGCGGCUGGCCAGGUGGGGGGCUCACCCCCCCCACCUCCCUCCCGGACAGGGCGGCUGGCCAGGCGGGGGGCUAACCCCCCCACCUCCCUCCUGGACGGGGCGGCUGGCCGGGCGGGGGGCUGACCCCCCCACCUCCCUCCCGGACGGGGCGGCUGGCCGGGCGGGGGUGCUCCUCACUUCCCAGUAGGGGCGGCUGGGCGGAGGUGCCCCUCACCUCCCGGACGGGGCGGCUGGCCAGGCGGGGGGCUAACCCCCCCACCUCCCUUCUGGAGGGGGCGGCUGGCCGGGCGGGGGGCUGGCCCCCCCCACCUCCCUCCCGGACGGGGCAGCUGGCCAGGCGGGGGGCUGACCCCCCCACCUCCCUCCCGGAGAAGGUGGCUGCCAGGCGGUGAUGCCCCUCACUUCCCAGACGGGGUGGCUGCUGGGCGGAGGGGCUCCUCACUUCUCGGACGGGGCGCCUGCCGGGCGGAGGGGCUCCUCACUUCUCAGGCGGGGCGGUUGCCAGGCAGAGGGUCUCCUCACUUCUCAGACGGGGCGGCCGGGCAGAGACGCUCCUCACAUCCCGGGCGGGGCGGCAGGGCAGAGGUGCUCCCCACAUCUCAGACGAUGGGCGGCCGGGCAGAGACGCUCCUCACUUCCCAGAUGUGAUGGCGGCCGGGAGGAGGCGCUCCUCGUUUCCUAGAUGGGAUGGCGGCCGGGCAGAGACGCUCCUGAUCUGGACCUCAGUGCCACGACCAACAGCGACUUCCAAGGGGAACAUGGGAAGAACAGAGGACAAAAACCAGAGUUGAGGCUGGAGAGAGUUAUGGUGCCAGUGGUCUCACCCAGCACUGAGUGCAAAGUUCUCCAGCAUCACUCUCAGGGAGAAGCUCCCCUGGACCUUGCCUAAGAACUCCGUUCGUCCGGGAGGACGCAGGCCCACCUGCUCUAAAAUGAACGCGUCUGAAUUCAGCGCAGGACACCCAGGAGCCCGGUUAUUCUCCUGCCAGCGUCCUCCCCUGAUGUGUCCCUGACCCCGUGCUCUGACGUACUCAGCCAUGUACUCACUCUCCUCUCCCAGGCCCCCAUACCUGAGAUCACCAUGGCGUGAUAUGGGGUAGACUACAAGCCUACCGUGCCUCGGCCAUGUGCAGGGCGACCUGUCCCUGGCAUCCACACCUGUGGCCCAUACGUCGCCCGCAUUGUGGGGCGCCGAAAACCCAACACAACUGAAACACAACUGCUGACCUUCCCCCUAAGCCGCCUCUAAACGAGGUCCCUGGGCCCCUGGUCCCAGCCGCUCUUUGAAGACUUGCCUGAUGACAGGCAUGUACCAUGUUUUUGGCUGGGACAUUUUUCUGAGCCUUGCUCCGGGCUCCGUAAAGCGGACACGGUGCCAGGGAGAGGAUUUCGGGGCGGUUGCGGGCACAGGCGGGCUUCUGCGGCGGCCCUGGCGAACGCCCCCGCGCGGCGCGGUCCGAUGGCCCCAUGGGGCCGCCCCUCCACUGUGAGGUCACCG
rnacentral:lncRNA from 1 species